rnacentral:rRNA from 1 species
UAAUACGGAGGGUGCAAGCGUUAUCCGGAUUCACUGGGUUUAAAGGGUGCGUAGGUGGAUUGGUAAGUCCGUGGUGAAAUCUCUGAGCUUAACUCAGAAACUGCCAUGGAUACUAUCAGUCUUGAAUACCGUGGAGGUCAGUAGAAUAUGUCAUGUAGCGGUGAAAUGCUUAGAUAUGACAUAGAAUACCAAUUGCGAAGGCAGCUGGCUACGCGAAUAUUGACACUGAUGCACGAAAGCGUGGGGAUCAAACAGGAUUAGAUACCCUGGUAGUCCACGCCCUAAACUAUGGAUACUCGACAUACGCGAUACACUGUGUGUGUCUGAGCGAAAGCAUUAAGUAUCCCACCUGGGAAGUACGAUCGCAAGAUUG